rnacentral:rRNA from 1 species
AUGUUUGUGCCUAAUGGAUCCAAAUUUUUCACAGUAGGCUUGGCUGCUAUAACCUGGGCUAUAUGGUUGGCACGCAAUAGAGCUACCUUUGAGAAAAAGUUGAUUAAAUCUCCUUUUGAGAUUGUGUUCUCCGCAUGUUCUUUUCUCUUGUAUUGGGUAGGCCUUCAGAACAAGGAAGAAGCGGAGAAGCUACGCCAAGGUGCCGAGAUGAUUCGAUCAAGCACGACCAGGCUGAUGGCGAUGUGCGAGAAUGCCAGGCGCACGGUGAAUGAUGCUGGAGAGGUGCUGCCUUGGUGA